AUCUUCCUUAGAGUAUACACACAACCAUGACCACUGAUUCCCAUUCAAAGCAGACAAACACACACACACACACACCAUGCCCACUAAUUCCCAUUCAAAGCAGUCACACAAACACACAUAUUUUACACACAGUUUAACCCUCCCUUCACUUCUUGGAUUUCAGUUCUCUCUUUCACUCUUAUCACCUCCCCCACCUUUUACCCCUGUAGGACCGUUUCUAUUGGCCGUUUUUCUCUUUCUCUUUGGGCUGCCCCGCCCCUUAAUCAACCCAACUAACAGUAAAGGUUAUAUUAACGUUGAUAAUCAGUUUCUGUAUGUAUUUAGCCUGAGUCUGGAAAAAAAACAAGAAAAAAAUCAAAACGGUUUUAUUCAAUUGUGCAAAUGUGUUUUCUUACUAUUUUUAAUGUUAUUACAUCUUCUAAUCUAAUCCUUCUACCAUUGCUUCAGUUAGUACUGAAAUACGCUUAGCCAACCUAGAGAUUUGAACUGUAAUGAUUGCGAUUUUCCUUACUUGUAUUUUAUAUGGCAUCUUUAGACCACCGUUUAUUAUGUACGUAAGUAAAUAUUGCCCCUUUUUUUUCUUCAAAAAUUGUCGUCUGCACUAUGAUACGAUUCUCAUAAUAUCCCUGAUAACUUCUUCGUGGUCGACUCAUAUUUAAUCUAAGCUGAACUCGCGCCCUUGCACAAAGCAGCGAAACAUCUCUUGUAAACACCUGAGAACCAAAGUACACCUAGCAUCCCCCUAUAAAGCCCCCCCCCCCCCAAAUAGUUCCCUGACAUCAAUGGUUUUCCCCGAGUAACAAGUUUUCUGAGUAUGAUUAUAUGUAAUGACAAUACAGCACGUGUGAUUUAUCUGACAAGUCUGUGAGGUAACGGUGUUUCUAAUAACACUGGUUGAUGUAGAGACGCUGACAGACAGGGAAACAAGGAAGUGUGUUUGUGUGGACAGUGAGUGAGUGGGCAGGUUUGUUUAGGUGUUGUGGGUGAAUUCAGCAUUCCUGUUGCUCGCUCGUGUUACUUCUCAUUGCUUGAAUUCAGGCCGUUUGAACCACUGCACAUGCUCAGAUCAACGCUAACACGCAGGAAGGAAGGACACCCAGCGAUUAUGCUUUCAGUCAUGCUGGGCUUUUGGCGCCCUCUUUAGCGUUUUCCUUACAUGUUAUCGUUGUGCUCUCUCAAACUUGCCUUUAACUUCCCAGACUCACUGAUGGAGCAACUUGUUGCUGUACUGAGUCUCUAAAUGUGUGGGCGUGAAGGCUGCUGAAAGCGACUGAAUUCUCCUCAAAACACAGAUCUGAGAUUAGUUGGCCUCCCGAUAGAUGGCAUACAGCUUGCAAGAAAUAAUUCACCAGUUUGGUGAUUAACUU